UGUCAGCCAGCUCCAUCUGUAGGAAGAGUGGGUAGGCAUAAAUUUCACCACGGUGGUGGUUCAAGCCUUGCAGCAGGACGCCAUUGUCAUAGCUAUUUC